rnacentral:rRNA from 1 species
GACGAUCCCUAGCUGGUCUGAGAGGAUGACCAGCCACACUGGAACUGAGACACGGUCCAGACUCCUACGGGAGGCAGCAGUGGGGAUUAUUGCGCAAUGGGGGCAAGCCUGAUGCAGCCAUGCCGCGUGUAUGAAGAAGGCCUUCGGGUUGUAAAGUACUUUCAUCGGGGAGGAAGGGAGUAAAGUCAAUACGGUAAGUCAUGACGUACCCGC